AAUCAACGCUGGCGGCGUGCCUAACACAUGCAAGUCGCACGAGAAAGGGACUUCGGUCCUGAGUACAGUGGCGCACGGGUGAGUAACACGUGAAUAAUCUACCUCCGAGUGGGGAAUAACUGAGAGAAAUCUUAGCUAAUACCGCAUAACACUUACGAGUCAAAGCAGCAAUGCGCUUGGAGAGGAGUUCGCGGCAGAUUAGUUAGUUGGCAGGGUAAUGGCCUACCAAGACGAUGAUCUGUAUCCGGCCUGAGAGGGCGCACGGACACACUGGAACUGAAACACGGUCCAGACUCCUACGGGAGGCAGCAGUGGGGAAUUUUGCACAAUGGGCGCAAGCCUGAUGCAGCAACGCCGCGUGCGGGAUGACGGCCU
rnacentral:rRNA from 1 species